rnacentral:rRNA from 1 species
GGCGAACGGGUGAGUAACACGUGGGUAACCUGCCCAUCAGAAGGGGAUAACACUUGGAAACAGGUGCUAAUACCGUAUAACAGUAGAAACCGCAUGGCUUCUAUUUGAAAGGCGCUUUUGUGCCACUGAUGGAUGGACCCGCGGUGCAUUAGCUAGUUGGUGAGGUAACGGCUCACCAAGGCAACGAUGCAUAGCCGACCUGAGAGGGUGAUCGGCCACAUUGGGACUGAGACACGGCCCAA